rnacentral:rRNA from 1 species
AGAUUUAUCUGCCGGGGUUGUAGGACUGAGACAUGGCACUUCAGAGGAUAGCAGAAGCGUUUGGGAAAGCGCGCCAGAGAGGGUGAGAGCCCCGUAAGCGAAAUCCAAAGAAGGCCUAUCAGUAUCCUGAGUAGGGCGGGACACGUGAAAUCCCGUUUGAAUCCGCGAGGACCAUCUCGCAAGGCUAAAUACUAACCAGUGACCGAU